ACGUAGGGGGCAAGCGUUAUCCGGAUUUACUGGGUGUAAAGGGAGCGUAGACGGCGAGGCAAGUCUGAUGUGAAAGCCUGGGGCUUAACCCCGGAACUGCAUUGGAAACUGCUUUGCUGGAGUGCCGGAGAGGUAAGCGGAAUUCCUAGUGUAGCGGUGAAAUGCGUAGAUAUUAGGAGGAACACCAGUGGCGAAGGCGGCUUACUGGACGGUAACUGACGUUGAGGCUCGAAAGCGUGGGGAGCAAACAG
rnacentral:rRNA from 1 species